rnacentral:rRNA from 1 species
UACGGAGGGUGCAAGCGUUACUCCGGAUUCACUGGGUUUAAAGGGUGCGUAGGUGGGCUAGUAAGUCCGUGGUGAAAUCCCCGAGCUUAACUCGGGAACUGCCGUGGAUACUAUUAGUCUUGAAUAUCGUGGAGGUAAGCGGAAUAUGUCAUGUAGCGGUGAAAUGCUUAGAUAUGACAUAGAACACCGAUAGCGGAGGCAGCUUACUACGCGAUUAUUGACACUGAGGCACGAAAGCGUGGGGAUCAAACAGG